rnacentral:rRNA from 1 species
GACGAACGCUGGCGGCGUGCUUAACACAUGCAAGUCGAACGGAAAGGCCCUGCUUUUGUGGGGUGCUCGAGUGGCGAACGGGUGAGUAACACGUGAGUAACCUGCCCUUGACUUUGGGAUAACUUCAGGAAACUGGGGCUAAUACCGGAUAGGAGCUCCUGCUGCAUGGUGGGGGUUGGAAAGUUUCGGCGGUUGGGGAUGGACUCGCGGCGUAUCAGCUUGUUGGUGGGGUAGUGGCUUACCAAGGCUUUGACGGGUAGCCGGCCUGAGAGGGUGACCGGCCACAUUGGGACUGAGAUACGGCCCAGACUACUACGGGAGGCAGCAGUGGGGAAUAUUACACAAUGGGCGGAAGCCUGAUGCAGCAACGCCGCGUGCGGGAUGACGGCCUUCGGGUUGUAAACCGCUUUCGCCUGUGACGAAGCGUGAGUGACGGUAAUGGGUAAAGAAGCACCGGCUAACUACGUG